rnacentral:rRNA from 1 species
UACGUAGGGUGCAAGCGUUGUCCGGAAUUAUUGGGCGUAAAGGGUGCGUAGGCGGCGCGGUAAGUCGGGUGUGAAAUCUCGGAGCUUAACUCCGAAACUGCAUUCGAUACUGCCGUGCUUGAGGACUGGAGAGGAGACUGGAAUUUACGGUGUAGCGGUGAAAUGCGUAGAUAUCGUAAGGAAGACCAGUGGCGAAGGCGGGUCUCUGGACAGUUCCUGACGCUGAGGCACGAAGGUCAGGGGAGCAAACGGG